rnacentral:tRNA from 5 species
GCCGGUGUGGCGGAAUGGUAGACGCGGGGGACUCAAAAUCCCUUGCCAGCGAUGGCGUGUAGGUUCGAGUCCUAUCACCGGUACCA